AAGAAAGGGAGACGCCAAGGGCCAGUCAGUCACCAACCAGCCAGCCACGGAGGAAGCAGGAAAAGUUUUCUCAAAAGAAUCAAGAAAUGGUCACCGAGAGAAACCUCUGAGAAUGUAACUGAAACACACUGAUUCCUAACAGGGAAAUGCUGGACCUGCAACUCCUUUGCCUGCUACAUGAUG